AUGCCGCGCUGACGGCGCGGCGCGCCGCGGCGGUCGCGGCGGCGCCUGAGGACGGCUGGGCAGCAGGCCUGGCGUUCGACAGCGCCAACGGCCUGC
rnacentral:tRNA from 1 species